CAGCAGCCGCGGUAAUUCCAGCUCUAAUAGCGUAUAUUAAUACUGUUGCAGUUAAAACGCUCGUAGUUGAACUUAGGAUUAUUACAAGGUAUUUUGCUUGAUUGUAAAAUUCUUGCUUAAUCCUUAUCUACUAGAUACUCUAUUCUGUACUUAAUUGUAUGGAAUAUCACCUAGCCAGUGGAACUUUGGUGAAAUAAUGCCUUUUUUAAUACCAGAGUGUAAAAACUUGAAGUGUUAAAUUGGGAUAACAUUAUUUUAUUGAAGCGGGGUUCUAGUUAAUUUACUUUGAGUAAAUUAGAGUGUUCAAAGCAGCCUCUUGGGGCUUUGAAUAGAUUUAGCAUGGGAUAAUAGAAUAGGAUUUGAUAAUCUAUUUGUUGGUUUGAAUUAAUCAAAUAAUGAUUAAUAGGGACAG
rnacentral:rRNA from 1 species